rnacentral:rRNA from 1 species
CCUACGGGUGGCAGCAGUGGGGAAUAUUGCACAAUGGGGGAAACCCUGAUGCAGCGACGCCGCGUGAGUGAAGAAGUAAUUCGUUACGUAAAGCUCUUUCAGCAGGGAAGAAAAUGACGGUACCUGAGUAAGAAGCCCCGGCUAACUACGUGCCAGCAGCCGCGGUAAUACGUAGGGGGCAAGCGUUAUCCGGAUUUACUGGGUGGAAAGGGAGCGUAGACGGUGCGCCAAGUCUGGAGUGAAAUGCCGGAGCUUAACUGCGGAACUGCUUUGGAAACUGGCGAACUAGAGUGCGGGAGGGGUAAGCGGAAUUCGUAGUGUAGCGGUGAAAUGCGUAGAUAUUAGGAGGAACACCGGUGGCGAAGGCGGCUUACUGGAUCGUAACUGACGUUGAGGCUCGAAAGCGUGGGGAGCAAACAGGAUUAGAUACCCGGGUAGUC